rnacentral:rRNA from 1 species
UUCCUACGGGGGGCAGCAGUGGGGAAUAUUGCACAAUGGGGGAAACCCUGAUGCAGCAACGCCGCGUGAAGGAAGACGGUUUUCGGUAUGUAAAGCUCUAUCAGCAGGGAAGAUAAUGACGGUACCUGACUAAGAAGCCCCGGCUAACUACGUGCCAGCAGCCGCGGUAAUACGUAGGGGGCAAGCGUUAUCCGGAUUUACUGGGUGUAAAGGGAGCGUAGGUGGCAGGGCA